AUAAUGGGUCAGCGACUUAUAUUCUGUAGCAAGGUUAACCGAAUAGGGGAGCCGAAGGGAAACCGAGUCUUAACUGGGCGUUAAGUUGCAGGGUAUAGACCCGAAACCCGGUGAUCUAGCCAUGGGCAGGUUGAAGGUUGGGUAACACUAACUGGAGGACCGAACCGACUAAUGUUGAAAAAUUAGCGGAUGACUUGUGGCUGGGGGUGAAAGGCCAAUCAAACCGGGAGAUAGCUGGUUCUCCCCGAAAGCUAUUUAGGUAGCGCCUCGUGAAUUCAUCUCCGGGGGUAGAGCACUGUUUCGGCAAGGGGGUCAUCCCGACUUACCAACCCGAUGCAAACUGCGAAUACCGGAGAAUGUUAUCACGGGAGACACACGGCGGGUGCUAACGUCCGUCGUGAAGAGGGAAACAACCCAGACCGCCAGCUAAGGUCCCAAAGUCAUGGUUAAGUGGGAAACGAUGUGGGAAGGCCCAGACAGCCAGGAUGUUGGCUUAGAAGCAGCCAUCAUUUAAAGAAAGCGUAAUAGCUCACUGGUCGAGUCGGCCUGCGCGGAAGAUGUAACGGGGCUAAACCAUGCACCGAAGCUGCGGCAGCGACGCUUAUGCGUUGUUGGGUAGGGGAGCGUUCUGUAAGCCUGUGAAGGUGUACUGUGAGGUAUGCUGGAGGUAUCAGAAGUGCGAAUGCUGACAUAAGUAACGAUAAAGCGGGUGAAAAGCCCGCUCGCCGGAAGACCAAGGGUUCCUGUCCAACGUUAAUCGGGGCAGGGUGAGUCGACCCCUAAGGCGAGGCCGAAAGGCGUAGUCGAUGGGAAACAGGUUAAUAUUCCUGUACUUGGUGUUACUGCGAAGGGGGGACGGAGAAGGCUAUGUUGGCCGGGCGACGGUUGUCCCGGUUUAAGCGUGUAGGCUGGUUUUCCAGGCAAAUCCGGAAAAUCAAGGCUGAGGCGUGAUGACGAGGCACUACGGUGCUGAAGCAACAAAUGCCCUGCUUCCAGGAAAAGCCUCUAAGCAUCAGGUAACAUCAAAUCGUACCCCAAACCGACACAGGUGGUCAGGUAGAGAAUACCAAGGCGCUUGAGAGAACUCGGGUGAAGGAACUAGGCAAAAUGGUGCCGUAACU
rnacentral:rRNA from 1 species